GAAUUCACUAGUGAUUCAGGCCUAACACAUGCAAGUCGAACGGUAACAGGAAGCAGCUUGCUGCUUCGCUGACGAGUGGCGGACGGGUGAGUAAUGUCUGGGGAUCUGCCUGAUGGAGGGGGAUAACUACUGGAAACGGUAGCUAAUACCGCAUAACGUCGCAAGACCAAAGAGGGGGACCUUCGGGCCUCUUGCCAUCAGAUGAACCCAGAUGGGAUUAGCUAGUAGGUGGGGUAACGGCUCACCUAGGCGACGAUCCCUAGCUGGUCUGAGAGGAUGACCAGCCACACUGGAACUGAGACAUGGUCCAGACUCCUACGGGAGGCAGCAGUGGGGAAUAUUGCACAAUGGGCGCAAGCCUGAUGCAGCAAGGCCGCGUGUAUGAAGAAGGCCUUCGGGUG
rnacentral:rRNA from 1 species